GGUGACGACGGGCUAGGGGUCGUGGGAAUGCGGAGGGGGGAAGCUGGGUGCGGAAUGAUUGGGCGGAAAGCCCGGGCAGGCGGUCCCUUAAGGCUGAGGGGAAAGCCCACGGCUCAACCGUGGAGGGUCAUUGGAAACUGGGGGACUUGAGUACAGAAGAGGAAAGCGGAAUGCCACGUGUAGCGGUGAAAUGCGUAGAGAUGUGGAGGAACACCAGUGGCGAAGGCGGCUUUCUGGGCUGUAACUGACGCUGAGGCGCGAAAGCGUGGGGAGCAAACAGGAUUAGAUACCCGAGUAGUC
rnacentral:rRNA from 1 species